GAUGAACGCUGACAGAAUGCUUAACACAUGCAAGUCUUUGGCGAAGCUGUGCUUGCACCGCCUAGCCAAGGCGGACGGGUGAGUAACGCGUAAGGAACUUGCCCUGCAGUCAGGGAUAACAGACGGAAACGACUGAUAAGACCUGGUAAAGUCAGGCGGACUCAUGUCCAGCCUGAUGAAAAGAGAUGCUGCAGGGGAGCCUUGCGUCCUAUUAUCUUGUUGGUGGGGUAGCGGCCCACCAAGGCGAUGAUAGGUAGCCGGCCUGAGAGGGUGGACGGCCACAAGGGGACUGAGAUACGGCCCUUACUCCUACGGGAGGCAGCAGUGGGGAAUAUUGGACAAGGGGGGCAACCCUGAUCCAGCAAUUCUGUGUGCACGAUGAAGGUUUUCGGAUUGUAAAGUGCUUUCAGCAGGGAAGAAAAAAAUGACGGUACCUGCAGAAGAAGCGACGGCUAAAUACGUG
rnacentral:rRNA from 1 species